GGGGCCAUAGCUCAAUUGGUAGAGCACUUGCCUUGCAUGCAAGAGGUCUGGGGUUCGAUUCCCCAUGGCUCCA
rnacentral:tRNA from 1 species